UAAUGUGUCGCUGUUGUCCAUAUAGUGCUACUAUGCUAGCGGCAUAUAGCUGCUAGCUAGCAUGCUGCUAGGCGCAAUUGCAUAAGUUAUUGCUAAUGUCUAUUAGUGCUAUACAUAUAUUGAAAUCACGUUUGCGAUGCAAACCUUGAUUAAGGUGAUACUGGCACUGGUAUUUCAGUCAAUGAAGUCAGUGAAGCACUCGUCUGCUAUGAUAGCUACCUACAACUUAAGCAUGUUGACUCACUGAUAAUGGUUUAGCCCUAACCUCUAGCUAGCUGUGCAUUAACGUUUGCAUUUUGCCAAGUUUGGAAUCAUAACAUUACGUAACUUUAGUUUCUAUCUGCCAUCUUUGUAAUGAAAGCCUCGGCAUUUUAAUCACUGUUUAAGUCGGUUCAGACAACUAUUGGCAUCUGUUUGUGAUUUAUUAUGCUAACGUAACUUAACUGUAUGGAACGUGGUCCCCAUCUUCUAUUUUGUUUGUUCUGCAGCGUCAACUUUUAUCGGCUGGAUUCUAGCAUCUAACGUUACGAUUGCCUCUGUUGGGUUUGCUUGAUCAACCAUCGUUUCGGGGACUCUGAUGACAGUGAAGAGCCAGAAAAUGGUGACUUUGCAUCUCUGAGGUACCUUCCAACUCGCCUGGUAUAUCAGUUGAAGCCUCAAGCCCAAGCCUACUGCACUGGCAAACUCCACCAUGUCGCCGAGUGCCAGGCAGCCGAGUCACUACCCCUCAACCUGGAGAAA